ensembl:rRNA 5S_rRNA 5S ribosomal RNA
GUCUAUAUCCAUAGCACUCUGAACACCCUUGAUCUCAUCUGAUCUUGGUAGCUAAGCAGGUUUGGUCUGCUUAGUUACUUGGAAGGGACAAAGCUU